AUUGAACGCUGGCGGCAGGCCUAACACAUGCAAGUCGAGCGGAGCGGCGGACGGGUGAGUAAUGCCUAGGAACAUGCCUGGUAGCGGGGGAUAACUCCCGGAAAGGGGAGCUAAUAUCGCAUACUAUUAGAGGAGCCUAGAUCGGAUUAGCUAGUUGGUGGGGUAAAGGCUUACCAAGGCGACGAUCCGUAGCUGGUGUGAGAGGAGGACCAGUCACACUGUGACUGAGAGACGGCCCAGAGUCCUACGGGAGGCAGCAGUGGGGAAUUGUGGACAAGGGGCGAAAGCCUGAUCCAGCCAUCCCGCGUGUGUGAUGAAGGCCUUCGGGUUGUAAAGCACUUUUGGCAGGAAAGCGGUACCUGCAGAAUAAGCACCGGCUAACUACGUGCCAGUAGCCGCGGUAAUAC
rnacentral:rRNA from 1 species